AUUUCUAGCCCUAACAAACCACCCCACCCAAAGACUAAAAGCUAUAAUCUCCAAAUUUUAAGGAUUUGGCGGUAAUUUAGUCCAGUUAGAGGAACCUGUUCGAUAAACGAUGAACCCCGCAAAAUCUUACCCGCCCCCAAAGCUUGUAUACCGUCAUUAUUAGGUAACUCCCAAAAGAGAAGUUACUUUGAUAAGUAAAACUUUACUUAAUAUAUUAGAUCAAGGUGCAGCCUAUGAGCAGGCCAGAAUGGGUUACAAUAAAAUUUAUUUACACGAAAGAAAAUAUGAAACUACUUUCAGAAGGAGGAUUUAAUAGUAAAGUUAAUUUAAUAAGUUAAUUUGAUAAAGGAUCUAAAUUGAGUACAUAUCGCCCGUCACUUUCAUAUAAAAAUGAAAUAAGUCGUAACAUAG
rnacentral:rRNA from 2 species